CGAGGCCGUCUGGUCUAUGGAUCAGAACGUUGCCUUUCGUGAUGAGCCAGGGACACAACGACCAUAGUUCACCCCCUCCUGCCUCUCCCCAGAUCCGACUGCCUUAGGGCCUGCGGCGGCUGUCGAAGCCCGGCGAAUUCGUGAUAGAAGAUGCUGACCUUGAGCUCUUGCUGGAUGUCGUCGAUCGGUUACCCCAGGAGUUCGCCGACAGUUUUGAAAGCCCAGAUCUGGCCCCUCUGGCAUUGUUAACGCCAGACCAAACCAACCCUGCCAUUCAGGCGGACUCGAAUGCUGCUCUGGAUGCGGGCAAUAAGUUGGCGUCGGCGGGCCGGGGAGGCCGCACUGUGGCGAGCGGUGGCGUCGGGAGGCAUCUCCGACUGUCCGCGCAGCCAACUGACAGGGUCAACCCAAAGGCGCUUGGUUGGACAAAGAGGUACGUCACCUAAUUCCAUUACCUGUGUAACUGUAUGUGUUCGAAAACGAGUACAUGUUGAUGUGCUCAGUCAUGCUUGAUAUGGUCUAGUUCUAUUUUGUAUGACUGCAACCUGCCGAUAUGAUAAAGUUAGCUGAACCCUGAUAGUACUACUUGUUACUGAUCGCUAUUUGUUUAAUAUGCUUAGCGGGCAAAUAUGUCAGCAAUUGUGUUGCAUCUGAAAACCGUCCAAAAGAAAUUGUUUGUUUAUAAAAUUCAGGUUACGCCGUAAUGCGCCACCUGACCGGACACCAUGUCCUUCUAGGAUGAGUGCACUAGAGCAGUCAAUUGGCAAAUGUGCAGAAGAGACUGCGAAAAGUGUAAUUAGACUGGAACUCGUCUGAGUUUUGAUUCACUGGGCGAGACGUGCGACCUCUACAACUUGUAUUCAUGGGAGAUCGGAUUUGGAAUUCAGUAUGGCAAAACCAGACUGAACGCCGAGAGGACACAGUCAAUGCAAAAAUCCUUUGCAGCUGCUCGGUGUAUUCUGAAUUCUGCUUAGUUGUUAUGCCAUUUGAUUUUUGUUUUUGCUGGAGUGUACAUGCAGGGGAAGCCGGAGGCGGAGAAUAGUAGAUCUUGUAGAUGCGAGUGCCCUGCAUUGAGAAGGCUCUUGCCGGCAGCUGAUAACAGUUCAUACAUGACAGAGCACUGUGAGGGGCACAACCAUUCCAUGUCUCUAACGAUGGGAGAGGGCGAUAUCGACGUCUAUUACUAAAGAUUUGCUAAAGCAAUUAAGGGAAAACAGUGUCAACCUCUGAAAGGUGCACAACAUCAUAGACAACUUUGUCGGCCGAUGAUGACGCGAGGAAGACUCUGGAGGUCUUCGCAGCAUUGUCGCCGGGGACCCUGACUUCACAUACUGAGUUUUGGCAAACAGUGAUAGCAGGGUGAAGAACUUUGAUGUGGACUAAUGGAAGCAGCAGAACGCAGUACCGGUUCUUCGGGGAUGUGAUAAUCUUCAAAACAACAUAUAGGACCAACCUCUAUGACAUGCUGUUUGGUCUAUUCGUGGGGGUGAACAAUCAUUUUUAAAGCAUUAUCCUGGCUGGGGUACUGAUAUGCUGCUUGAUAAAUACAAUUUGAGGACGGUGGGGAACACUGAAGGUGGUGACACCCGAGCAAGAAUAGAGGUUCAGUUCCCGGACACGUCGAGCUUGGGGUCGACAGCGAGCGCUUGGAGCACGAACUUGACGCCGGAGCAAGGAGGCCAUGGCAUCGACGACGUGAGCGGAAAUAUUGGUUCUGUUGUGCUGUCUGUUGGUCUUCCGAACUUGGAGAGGUGAUACAGCCGGAACUCUCUUCGGAGAAGAUUUUGAAGCUAACUGGAUGAUAGGGUCAGAGAUGAUACCCUUGAAGGAUUCAGCAAGCAUGACCCAGCUGCCGUCGCGUUGGCCAGCUAAGAUGGUGUUGACUCUGAUGUGGACAACGGGUCACGCGUGAUGUAUGUGGCCGGAGAGGUUGAUUCCGGUGGAGUAGAGGGAGUUGAGCAAAGUACUGUGUUUGCUCUGCUCCCGUUGUGCAAGAUGGGCACACCAUCUUCAACAGUUUGUUGUGGUGUGCGUGCGGUGUGCUUGAGGUUCCAGACAAAAAGAAAACUCGUUGAGUGUGAUUACGUCAUGAUUUAUGAAGGGAAACUCUAGUUUGUGCUUGUAAAACCCAGUGGCUGAGUACGCGCACAGUUGCAUCUUGUUGACAGUAAAGUUCUUAAAUCUAACUAAAAUUGUUUUGUUUCU